GAAAUAUCCUGCAGGUCGAGAUUCCUACGGGAGGCAGCAGUGGGGAAUAUUGCGCAAUGCGCGCAAGCGUGACGGAGCGACGCCGCGUGGGUGAUGAAGGCCUUCGGGUUGUAAAGCCCUGUCAGCUGCCACGAAUGGCGGGUCGUGAAUAGCGAUCCCGUUUGACCAAGCAGCAGAGGAAGCACCGGCUAAAUACGUGCCAGCAGCCGCGGUAAUACGUAUGGUGCAAACGUUGUUCGGAAUCACUGGGCUUAAAGCGGGCGUAGGCGGUCUGGUAAGUUUGUUGUGAAAGCCCUCGGCUCAACCGAGGAAUUGCAACGGAUACUGCCAGGCUAGAGUGCAGGAGGGGAGAGUGGAAUUCCUGGUGGAGCGGUGAAAUGCGUAGAUAUCAGGAGGAACGCCGGUGGCGAAAGCGACUCUCUGGCCUGUUACUGACGCUGAGGCCCGAAAGCUAGGGGAGCGAACGGGAUUAGAUACCCCGGUAGUCCUAGCCCUAAACGAUGGGCACUAGGUAGAGGGCGUUCCGAUACCUUCUCUGCCGAAGCUAACGUAAUUAGUGCCCCGCCUGGGGAGUAUAGUCGCAAGGCUGAAACUCAAAUGAAUUGACGG
rnacentral:rRNA from 1 species